UCCUGGUUAGCUCAGUCGGUUGAGCGCUCCACUGGUAAAUGGAGAGGUCCCGGGUUCGACACCAGAACCAGGCG
rfam:Ixodes scapularis strain Wikel colony gcontig_1108379853770, whole genome shotgun sequence.